AUUGAACGCUGGCGGCAGGCCUAACACAUGCAAGUCGAACGAGUGGCGGACGGGUGAGUAAUGUCUGGGAAACUGCCUGAUGGAGGGGGAUAACUACUGGAAACGGUAGCUAAUACCGCAUACCAUCAGAUGUGCCCAGAUGGGAUUAGCUAGUUGGUGGGGUAACGGCUCACCAAGGCGACGAUCCCUAGCUGGUCUUAGAGGAUGACCAGCCAAACUGGAACUGAGACACGGUCCAGACUACUACGGGAGGCAGCAGUGGGGAAGAUUGCACAAUGGGCGCAAGCCUGAUGCAGGCAUGCCGCGUGUAUGAAGAAGGCCUUCGGGUUGUAAAGUACUUUCAGCGAGGAGGCGUUACUCGCAGAAGAAGCACCGGCGAACUCCGUGCCAGCCGCCGCGGUAAUAC
rnacentral:rRNA from 1 species